UUAUUACUUACGCAAUUCCACCAGUGUAUAAUACAUCCAACAUUCUCAAUAUUAAACGCUUUUGGCAAGCCAGAGCAAGACUUCUCUGUGGGAACCCCCCGGUAAAGGAUACAUGUCUAGUCAAAUAGGCUUCUAAUAAGAAAUUAGUUCAUUCAUUACUUAUGCAAUGACUUUCUUUUUCGUAGCGUCAACAUUACCUUUAUAUCUCCCUCGUCUAGUCAAGAUUCCCUAAGAGAAAGGGAUCAAAUCCGUAGU
rnacentral:lncRNA from 1 species